UCUUAUAGAUGAUCAAAGAAAGUAGUGUUUUGAGAUGGAGGCCUACUCCUGGUGAAGAUGCUGUGAA
rnacentral:pre_miRNA from 1 species